rnacentral:rRNA from 1 species
UACGGAGGGAGCUAGCGUUGUUCGGAAUUACUGGGCGUAAAGCGCACGUAGGCGGCUUAUCAAGUCAGGGGUGAAAUCCCGGAGCUCAACUCCGGAACUGCCCUUGAAACUGGCAGGCUAGAAUCCUGGAGAGGCGAGUGGAAUUCCGAGUGUAGAGGUGAAAUUCGUAGAUAUUCGGAAGAACACCAGUGGCGAAGGCGACUCGCUGGACAGGUAUUGACGCUGAGGUGCGAAAGCGUGGGGAGCAAACAGG